UCCUAGUUAACCUAGGCAGUCUCAUUAGAGUUCCCAUCUUUCAUGCUGGCAACUAAUGAUAAGGGUUGCGCUCGUUGCGGGACUUAACCCAACACCUCACGGCACGAGCUGACGACAGCCAUGCAGCACCUCUCUAGCAGUCCUUUCGGACGAGUACGUUUCUGCACUCUCCCACUAAAGUUCAAACCUGGGUAAGGUUCUUCGCGUUGCAUCGAAUUAAACCACAUGCUCCACUGCUUGUGCGGGCCCCCGUCAAUUCUUUUGAGUUUCACUCUUGCGAGCGUACUCCUCAGGCGGUAUACUUAUCGCGUUUGCUUCGACACAAUCAGGGUUGAGCCCAAUUACAUCAAGUAUACAUAGUUUACGGCAAGGACUAC
rnacentral:misc_RNA from 1 species